rnacentral:rRNA from 1 species
UACGAAGGGGGCUAGCGUUGCUCGGAAUCACUGGGCGUAAAGCGCACGUAGGCGGAUUGUUAAGUCGGGGGUGAAAGCCCGGGGCUCAACUCCGGAACUGCCUUUAAGACUGCAUCGCUUGAAUCCGGGAGAGGUGAGUGGAAUUCCGAGUGUAGAGGUGAAAUUCGUAGAUAUUCGGAAGAACACCAGUGGCGAAGGCGGCUCACUGGACCGGUAUUGACGCUGAGGUGCGAAAGCGUGGGGAG